rnacentral:lncRNA from 1 species
UAGGACUUCAAAAUAUGAAUGGAACUGAACCCGGGCUGCUGAGAUGGAGCACUCCAAACUUAACCACCAGGCCACAGGGCCGGCCUCCAACUCUUUUAAUCUGUUAAAGGAUGUCCAUCAAAAAUCCACAAAACUCAAUAUGCGUGGUUUUUAAAGAAAGUCGACCAUGGAAACUACACUGAGAAUGGUAAGAUUGAUAUUCCCAAUCCCUUCCAAAACUUGGAGCCUUCUCCUUUUCCAUGCCAACCCACACGACGCAAAGAAAUGGAGUAGCAUUCCGAGAAAAGGAGUUGGGAGAAUGGAGAAGAGGAAAAGGUGAAAGUGAGGUGGUCUCACGUAUGGUCACAGAAAGAGCAAUCAAUCAAUCAAUCAAUCAUAAAAAUAACUCUGGGAGUCUCAAUUUUGACCAAAAAAUCUAUGAUUUUUGUCAAUGCGAAUUUGAUUUGCCUGAAGUGUUGUUUCCUCAAAAUGGGCCAGAACAAAGCUUGCCCUUGCUGAACAGCUGCUGUCUCUGUCCCCGAGACCAUGAACAACAGACAAGACCGGACAGAGGCACUUGCUGAGGGAACCUACAAACUACAGUGACCUUCCCAGGACAGUGGGUCUACAAAGGUGACCUCUAUAAGGAGUUUCACUCCCCCAAGCCUGAACUACUUUGCUUUUCUUCCUGAAAGAGACCCCCUAUCCAUGGGUUAACUGUCUUGUGAUUCAAAACUGCUUCCAGAGCAAUUGUGUCUCAGUGUGUCAUAUGAAAGGGGUGCGUGCUUUUCCCCAAGAAAUGGGCAGUAAAUUAAGAAGUGGGCAUCUCUUGAGAUAUCUCUGAAAUAAAGAAGGUUUCUAAAUGGAGGAAACUGGGUAUAGGCGGCUGGGGAAGAUUUAACCUCCUCUUUUUCUUACCAGUUUUCUCUCUUCUUCUUUUUACCUCCUUGGUUCUCCCACAACACUCUUGGAGGAAGUCCUGCUCACAAAAAACACAUUCUCGUUAUCAACUGGCCUGUGUGAGAGCAAGGCGUGCAGCCACCAUUGCUCCCUCCAGACAGACAGCGAGGAGAUGGGGCUGCUGAGUGUCUGUGGUGUCUAGGGUCGCUCCUCACCCCAAAGAGGCAAUGAUUUCAGGAAGCGAAGGCUCUCAUCGCGGGCUGACUGAUGACAGGGUUUGGAAUGGAGGGUCUUGUGGACAGUUUGUGAAAACUCUCCCAAGGAGCUUACGAGUUUCUUCCACGUCUAAAAGGCCUGUUAACACUGAGCCACAUGAAAAAAUAAUACUCUGGAGCGGUUUUCCCCCCUCCAUGAUGUGAUUAACAUCUGAAACUACUCAAAUUAUACUCCAAUGAGGAAAACUUCAACAAGAAAAGCUCUCCUCAACAUUAAAAGAGUCUACUUGUUUUGUAAUCUGCA